rnacentral:misc_RNA from 1 species
AGACCCAACUUCAGCCUGAGUGAGUAUUCUUUUUAUAGCAACGAGGCAAGCUCCUAUUCCCCUUAAUCGGUAAAUCAUAAAGGGUUUGUAAAUGGAUCUUCUACAACAUUUGUCAUUGCCAGUGUUCAUAUAUAAUGGCAUGUAAAUGAACCAGUGAAGAUGCUUCUUUUCUAUAAGCCAUUGCAGCUAUAUGAUCCCUUAAAUCAUCUAGGUAUUAUCCAAGUCUUGUGCUGCUAUAUAGUUUCGUAGAUUUCCAGCAUACAGUUAGGAUGAAACAUUAGUUUUCAAUGUUAUACGAUGAAAGAAUCACCUGAUAUUGUGUGUGUGUGUGUGUUUUUUUUUUUUUUUUUUUUUU